CAAUAGCGUAUAUUUAAGUUGUUGCAGUUAAAAAGCUCGUAGUUGGAUUUCGGGUAGGAUUUGCCGGUCAGUCUUUGAGAUGUGUACUGGUAAGUCCUAUCUUCUUGUCGGGGACCAGCUCCUGGGCUUCACUGUCCGGGACUGGGAGCCGACGAAGUUACUUUGAGUAAAUUAGAGUGUUCAAAGCAAGCCUACGCUCUGAAUAUAUUAGCAUGGAAUAACACGAUAGGACUCUGGCUUAUCUUGUUGGUCUGUGAGACCAGAGUAAUGAUUAAGAGGGACAGUCGGGGACAUUCGUAUUUCAUUGUCAGAGGUGAAAUUCUUGGAUUUAUGAAAGACGAACUUCUGCGAAAGCGUCUGCCAAGGAUGUUUUCAUUGA
rnacentral:rRNA from 1 species